GUUUCCAAAAUGAACACUUUGUGUUCUCCGUAAAAAAUGCACUUUAAUUUUUACACAAAUAUUUAAGCUUGUUUGUUGAUCAAAUAUUGAACAUUCUUUUUGGCUGAAUAUCAAUCAAAUGCAUUGUUGACCAGAAAUUGAAGUUAAAUGAAUUGUGGCUUGUAUAUAGAUGGGUAAAAAUUUAGUUUAUAUUCAUGUAUUUGAUGCAGAUGGUCAAGCUAGUCGUUGAGAUCUUCUUGGUGAAAGAAGUUCCUGUGAUGAAUUUUCUAAUUCGAGAAAUUCAAAAAUGGAAAGAAAUUAGAAUAUAAGAUAAUGUCAUUGAACGAUAUCGUCAAAAUAUCGUCUUUGGACUGUAUAUGUUGCAGAUGUUUUGUAUCCUGAAAGAUGUGAAUGCCCCUUAAAUCAAUUCCAAGUAUGUCCAAACUGUUAGCUACUUCAUUAGCUUCCUAGUAGAAAGAAUGAACUUUUCAUUUUCCUGCUCCAUCACACAAAUAAUGGAUCCGAUAUCAUCUCUCAACUCGCUAUUUCUUGUGUCUCAUUUCUUUAGUAUUUAAAAAACCAAAAGGGGAGUCUAGCUCCAUGAUAAUUUGAUUAAAACCAUUAUCCAUAAACCAUUAUAUUGGAUACUAAAUAUUACCACAUUAGCCUCAUCUGCGUUGUUACUGCUAUGGUUAGUAGGCGCAGAGAAACCAAAUAUGAGCCUCCUAGUAAAGUAAGAAUCUUAGAAAGAUUGAUGGGACAUAAAAAAAAGGAACUGAUAAAGUUAAGCAUCUUAUGAAGAAUCUUGCAGCAAGACAACAAUCAUCUUCAGGAUUCAAGAAAGGGAUUUGGAUGUUGCUGGACAGAAACCUCGAAGUGUACUUUAGUUCAAGGGAGAAACAGUUCUUAUACGAUAUUGUGGCAAAUGGUCGAAAUGGAAUCGAUGUGGACAAGUUUGAUUACAUCGUCAGAGAUGCCCGAGCGUGUGCUCUAGGAUGCAAUUUUCAGUUCCAAAGGUUAAUGGAGACAAUGAGAGUUCUGGGAGACGAUAUAUGCUAUGGAGCCUAAGAUUAUUUAACCAUUCACAAGUUAUUUACCACACGAGCUGAUCUACACAGAACUGUUUAUACUCAUGCUAAAGUGAAGGCAAUAAAGCUUAUGGUUGUAGAUGCAGCAGUGAAAGCAAAUGAUUAUCUACAGAUAGCAUCCCAUAUAGAGCACCCUUCUCAAUACUGAAGAUCAAUGGUAGUUGGGUGAAAUGGAUGAUGAAAUGGCUGAUGGAUGACUGGAGAGUUCUUUUCUGAUGUUGAGGAAUAAUCCAAAGUAUUUCCCGCUGUUGGUUUCGUGCAAACAAUGACAUACAAGGAUUGAGAUGCGAUAUAGUGUUGAGCAGUUGAGUAUUAUGGAGUUCUGGAACAUGCAAUGUGUCGAUUUUUCAAUGGACUUUCAUUGAACAAUGGUGGAUUGGUCCCAAAUGCUGCAAAGUCAAUUAAGAUGGAAGUUGGCUGGUCUGUACUUACAACUUCUGGACAUCCAUUUGUAAUUGACCCAGAUUGUCAUGGGCUUCAUCGAUAUCAAAUGGUUUUUCUAAUGUAUAUUUCUGCUGAUGAAGGAGAGACCGUGUUCGAGGAGUUUUGGAGCUGCCUGUAUUUUAACCAUCUGGACAACCCUGUUUUGGUGUAUUGGAGUUCAUAAUGACCUCCAUCAACUAUGUUGCAGAGGUCGGGUUUCAAACCUCAGAGGUCACUGGAAGUGAUUAUUUUCACCUCAGAAGAACCCACGAGGUUUGGGAUCAGCUGUCUGGGAAGCCGUUUGCUGGCAGGAAUUGUACAGCUUGCAGAACAACUAAAAAGUACAAAAUACAGCCAUAAUGUUUCCUUCUCUGAUGCUGAUAAGUCUGCUGGUUACGCAAAUGCUAAGGGGGAUUUGUCUGAAGUAUUUCUCGAAAAAGAAACUUAUUCUGCUUUCGUCAAGUUGCACAUAGAGCAAGGUCCUAUUCUAGAAAAAAGUCAGCGGCUGUUAAAUGCUUAUCCUAUUCUUCAUCAUCCGAUGCAAGUACCGGUUUAAUUGUAGUCAUAUCAAUAAAUAAGUUGGUGUAUCUGCCAAUGAAGGUGUUUCGAUUGAUGUUGUGACUGCGAUUGCCGCUCCAGCAAGCAUCAAAGUAACAUUUGAAGGCAAUGGAGGUCAUGCAGGAGCUGCACUGAUGCCUAAGAUAAGUAUUGAGUUCCUUGUUGUCCGUGUGCAGAAUCAUUUAUGCACGGGCUGCAGUGCUGAAUUAAUGUAUGUCCUGGAACCAACCAAGAAGGUUGCGGCUGUCAAGUUAAUUGAUGACUGGUUAAUGAUCUUGUUUCUAUCAUUUUUCACGCCUAGCAAGUUAAUUGAAAACGGAAUAAUGAUCUGUUUCUAAGUAAGGAUACUACUAAUCUCAUUUUUCAAUUUUUUUCAUAUUAUUUUUCAAUCAUGCUCAUUUUUUUCUCACACCAGCAUUUUGUCUACUGAAACUUGUUUGUGUAACAAAACAAAUUCAGCAUGAUAUUUAAAGAUGUUUUUCAAACUGUAAUUUAUGGAGUGAAACACCCACACAUUCUUCAUUACAUAAGAAAUAUCUAAUAUAGUACUUGUUCAUUACAAAAUAAACUGAAAUUAAAAUUAACAUAAAAGUUACAAUUGAACAUGGACUCGACUACUCAUUUUUUUUCCUUCUUAAUCACUUUGCGGAUCUUGGUGGUGGAUUGUUUGUCAUUACAUUCAUCAUCAUAUUCCUACAUUGGCAAUUUUUCAACACCUUUGCUUCUUU